GAGCGCCGUAGCAAUACGGAGCGGCAGACGGGAGAGUAACACGUGGGAACGUACCCUUCAGUCCGGAACAACCCAGGGAAACUUGGGCUAAUACCGGAUACGUCCGUAAGGAGAAAGAUUUAUCGCUGAAGGAUCGGCCCGCGUCUGAUUAGCUUGUUGGUGAGGUAACGGCUCACCAAGGCUACGAUCAGUAGCUGGUCUGAGAGGAUGAUCAGCCUCACUGGGACUGAGACACGGCCCAGACUCCUACGGGAGGCAGCAGUGGGGAAUAUUGGACAAUGGGCGCAAGCCUGAUCCAGCCAUGCCGCGUGGAUGAUGAAGGCCUUAGGGUUGUAAAGUCCUUUCGGCGGGGAAGAUAAUGACGGUACCCGCAGAAGAAGCCCCGGCUAACUUCGUGCCAGCAGCCGCGGUAAUACGAAGGGGGCUAGCGUUGCUCGGAAUCACUGGGCGUAAAGCGCACGUAGGCGGCUUUUUAAGUCAGAGGUGAAAUCCUGGAGCUCAACUCCAGAACUGCCUUUGAUACUGGAGAGCUUGAGUCCGGGAGAGGUGAGUGGAACUGCGAGUGUAGAGGUGAAAUUCGUAGAUAUUCGCAAGAACACCAGUGGCGAAGGCGGCUCACUGGCCCGGUACUGACGCUGAGGUGCGAAAGCGUGGGGA
rnacentral:rRNA from 1 species